rnacentral:rRNA from 1 species
CAUCAAGACCGACAGGUAUUAGCCAUCGGCUUUUUCUCCCAAUUGAAAGUGCUUUACAACCCUAGAGCCUUCUUCACACACGCGGCAUGGCUGCGUCAGGGUUGCCCCCAUUGCGCAAUAUUCC